AGCAAAUUCCCUCAAAUAAAAAUCCAAACAAUUGUGAAUUCACUUUCCUCCUUACCAAACCUUGACCUAAAUUCUACUCUAUCUUGAAAUUACAUCUACUCCCACGGCGAUUGAGGCAUGGUUUAUGCAAGAAAAUGAUGAUGAUCAAAGACUCCCACAUCACAAGAACCCACCCGAAUACGUUUCAUUGGAGCAGUUAGCGAAUCUUGGAGUUCUCUACUGGAAUUUGGAUCCGAAUAAGUAUGAGAAUGACCCAGAUUCGAACAAGAUCCGACAAGACAGAGGAUAUAUAUAGUUAUAUGGAUAUGCUUGACUUGUUCCCCGAGAAAGUGGAGAAUUAUGAUGAGAAGCUGAAGAGGUUUUACACUGAACACAUCCAUGGUGAUGAGGAGAUUCGUUAUUGUCUGAAAGGGAGUGACCGAUGUGAGGAGAUAGUAUUUUUUAUUCACGAUAAUUGAUAGUUUAAUUUUUGGCCAUUAUCUUUAUUCAUUGAAUUUCCGGCUAUCCCAUCGUGCUGUAUGAGAUUCUAUU